UGGCCUUCGCCAUCUCCCCCUCUCCUUCUCUCUCUCUCUCUCUCUCUGCACUCGAUUGUAUACCAGAACAGUCCAAAUCUCCGGCCACAACUUACCCCGAAAAAAAAUCUCCGGCCACAUACACAGCCAUUGCCAUGCCGAUGUUUAGCAUAGAGCUGAUUGCAUUUCAGAUCUACUCUUUUAGGUUACAGUUUUUGUUUGUUUAUCAAUCAAGUAAAAGCUUUGGCUUUUAUCGUUAACUUCGAGUUUUGCCAUCGAAUACAAGGUCGGUGUUUGUGUUCCAUGAUGACCUACGACUAUUGAGAUAUCAGUCCCUUCUUUGUCC